UGUAAUUGUUUCUGCCUGGUUUUCAAGCUGUCCUGAGGUGCUGCCUGCACCUUACCCGUCUGGUGCGGGGGGGAGAGAUACCUCCCUCCAAACAACCAACCUCCAAAUGGUCGAAGAAACCAACCUGCGGAGGUAGAGCAGUGCACUCUCCCCGGACCGGAAGGAUAGAAGUGGUUCUGUCAGCUGGGUCCUCCCUACCCCAACCUGCACAACCC